CACUGGAUGUUCUGCUCUGACCUCCUCCUCCUUUCAGGGUGGAGCCUGCUGGAGUCCGAUGGUUGAGACCAGGUCUACAGAAGUAUUCCUGUGAACUCACACUCGACACAAACACAGUGAACAGAAACCUCCCUGUCUGACGACAACAGGAAGGUGACAUGUGUGGAGGAGGAUCAGUCAUAUCCUGAUCAUCCAGACAGGUUUGACCACUGUCCUCAGCUGCUGUGUAGAACUGGUCUGACUGGUCGCUGUUACUGGGAGGUCGAGUGGAGAAGAUACGUUCAUAUAUCAGUGAGUUACAGAGGAACCAGAAGGAGAGGAAACAGUGUAGACUGUGUGUUUGGAGAGAAUGAUCAGUCCUGGAGUCUGGACUGCUGUGGUGGUCAUUACUCUGUCUGUCACAAUAAGACAAGAACACCCAUCUCCUCCUCCUCCUCCUCCUCUGGUAGAGUAGCAGUGUAUGUGGACUGUCCUGCUGGCUCUCUGUCCUUCUACAGAGUCUCCUCUGACACACUGAUCCACCUCCACACCUUCAACACCACAUUCACUGAACCUCUUUAUCCUGGGUUUGGGUUUGGGUUGGGGUUUGGGUUGGGUUUGGGUUGGGGUUUGGGUUGGGGUACUUGCCUGGUUCCUCAGUGUCUCUGUCCGCUUCCUAGCCGUUUCCUUCGUGGUUCAAAAUCAAACGAGCCAACCACAGGAUGUGAUUUUAGAAUGAUUUCAGAGCUUAACUUCUCAUUAAUCCAUUGGCUGAUUGGAAAUCUGUUCAGUGAUCUUACUUUUGUACUUUUUAGAUUAUUAUCACCGUGUUUUAAGUAGUGCUCCUCAUGCCAGUCUGUGGGCUCCACUGCAUUGACGCUACGCCUUAGCACCAUAAUCCAGAGUGACAUUGUUAAGUAUCUAAUAGAGGUUCAGCCUGCCAAAGACAAUGACGGUGCACUCCUACACCUCCAUCAUUGAGUCCAUCCUCUCCUCCUCCAGUUCAGACUGCAGCGUAUCAUUGGUUCUGCUGAGAGGUGAUUGGCUGCAGUCCACCACCUGUUCACCUCCAGAACCCUGAGGGGGGUAAGAAGGAUUGUAGCCGACCCCCCUCACCCAGGACACAAACUCUUUGUCCCCGUCCCUGUGGCAGGAGGCUGCGGUCCAUAAAAACAGCUUCUUCACAUCUUCAGUUGGGUUGAUCAGUAAAGCCCGGGACCCUCACAUCCCCAGGACAGUUAACACCGCUGCACAUCUCGACACUGAUAAUAUACUAUACCUGCUUUAACAUGCUCUUAUUUGUUUGCUUUUUUUUUUACCAUAGUUUAUUGUAUAUUUUUAUAUUUCUAUUAUUAGACUAUGUCUCUAUUACUGCACUGUGCUUGCUACUUACUGUACGCACCAAUUAAUCACAGAGCCAAGUUUUAUUGUACGUGUAACAUACUUAAUACAGUAUAAUCUUUGCUUUUACCCAUCAUGAGAUGUUUCUUGUGUGACACCUUGGUAAUGAGACACCUUUUUAUAGGCCAUCAGUUGGGACUGAACCAGCUGAUAUUCAUUAAGGACUGCUUUCUAAUUACUGAUAGAUUUCAGCUGGUGUCUUGUCUUUCCAUGACUUUUUGCACCUCCCUUUCUUCAUGUGUCCAAUACUUUUUCCCUGUGUCAUUCCAUUUGAUUACACAUAACUUAACUUCUGAACGUAUUUGUUUGGUUUUCUUUGUAUGUAUGGAUUACUUGGGUUGUUUCCGACAUCUGGUGAAAAUAUCAUGUCAGUAGCACCUUUAGAAAUAUAUUUACUGAGAAAAUGGUGACGUGUUCAAUACUUAUUUUACCCGCUGUAUGUAUUAUUAAUAAACAGCUUCUGAUUCUGAAGAUAUGUUAAUAACCUAAUCAGUCUUCUAAUACCAAUAAUCCUUAUUAUCAGUUUCUUCAUGAGCUCUCUGUGACAUUAAAGAACAUCAAUAUGAACAUAAGACUCAUUAAACUGCUGCAUAAACUUGUACCAUCUGAUUUAUUUUGAUUUCUAUUUUCUGUCACAAUAAAAGCAUAAAACAAG